CCUACGGGGCGCUGCAGUGGGGAAUAUUGCACAAUGGGCGCAAGCCUGAUGCAGCCAUGCCGCGUGUGUGAAGAAGGCCUUCGGGUUGUAAAGCACUCUCAGCGGGGAGGAAGGCGUUAAGGUUAAUAACCUUGGCGAUUGACGUUACCCGCAGAAGAAGCACCGGCUAACUCCGUGCCAGCAGCCGCGGUAAUACGGAGGGUGCAAGCGUUAAUCGGAAUUACUGGGCGUAAAGCGCACGCAGGCGGUCUGUCAAGUCGGAUGUGACAUCCCCGGGCUCAACCUGGGAACUGCAUUCGAAACUUGCAGGCUAGAGUCUUGUAGAGGGGGGUAGGAAUCCAGGUGUAGCGGUGAAAUGCGUAGAGGUCUUGAGGAAUACCGGUGGGGGAGGCGGCCCCCCGGACAAAGACUGACGCUCAGGUGCGAAAGCGUGGGGAGCAAACAGGGGUAGAUACCCGGGUAGUC
rnacentral:rRNA from 1 species